rnacentral:rRNA from 1 species
GACGAACGCUGGCGGCGUGCUUAACACAUGCAAGUCGAACGGAAAGGCCCUGCUUUUGUGGGCGGCUCGAGUGGCGAACGGGUGGGUAACACGCGAGUAACCUGCCCUUGACUUUGGGACAACUUCAGGAAACUGGGGCUAAUACCGGAUAGGAGCUCCUGCUGCAUGGUGGGGGUCGGAAAGUUUCGGCGUUUGGGGAUGGACUCGCGGCUUAUCAGCUUGUGGGGUGGGUAGUGGCUGACCAAGGCUUUGGCGGGUAGCAGGCCUGGGCGGGUGGCCGGCCCCGUUGGGCUUGGGCUGCGGCCCGGCCUCGACCCGUACGCAACGGUGGGGAAUGUUACACUAUGGACGGAGGCCAGAUGCAGCAACGCCGCGCCCGGGAUGACGGGAAUCGGGUUGUAAACCGAUGUCGCCUGUGACGAGACGUGAGUGACGGUAAUGGGUAAAGAAGCCCCGGCUAACUACGUG